rnacentral:tRNA from 1 species
CUGCUGCUGGCAGGUGCCGGGGUCGCCGCCGCCGACAACGGCGCGGGUGCCGCGGCCGGUUCCAACGCCGGCGUGGUGUCC